rnacentral:rRNA from 1 species
ACCGACACAGGUGGGUGAGGAGAGUAUCCUAAGGCCAGCGAGAGAACUGUUGUUAAGGAACUCGGCAAAAUGACCCCGUAACUUAGGGAUAAGGGGUGCCACCAUCCGGUGGCCGCAGAGAAUAGGCUCAAGCGACUGUUUACCAAAAACAUAGGUUUCUGCUAAGUCGCAAGACGAUGUAUAGGAGCUGACGCCUGCCCGGUGCUGGAA